rnacentral:lncRNA from 1 species
AUGCUCUCUCAGAGGCACAAACAUCGAUUAUGGGCUGGGCUCUGGGCAGUGCUGGGUCCCUUUGCUGCCAGCAGAAACUGGCCCUUAUUUAAUACAAGGCAGCUCUUGGAUCCUUCUCACAGAGGCCGGGCCCGCUGCCCCCUGCUACCAAACCCUUGCUGUGCAAACCCACCGCAGGAUUUCAGGACCUGCAGGAGCACCCCCAGCCCUCCCUCACUUUUUUCCCUUGCCAAAGCGAUGGCAAGGCUGCGAAAACAAGGAACGGGCAUGGUGGGAGCCCAGGGGCACCCAGGGGUCUCACACCACCACGGGUGCCCCCCUGGGGGGGUGUUGGUGACAGCGAGGUGUCGCACAACGAGGCCGGGGCCGGGGCCGCUGCGGGCGGUGCCCGGGCAGCCGCUGCCCCUCAGGGCCUCCCCCGGCGGCCGUUGGUGGUGGGAGGGGGCGCGGGUGGGGGGCCGGAGCGCAGGUAGCGGGGAAGGGGCGGCCGGGGGGGCACGAGGGGGAGCGGAGCGCCCCGGGGGUACUGGGGAUGGAACGGGGGAGCCUCGGGGGUGGUGGGGGGCAGCCGGGGAUGCUGCAGGGGCCAGGCUGGGAAAUGGCGGCGCCGCCCCCCCAGCGCAGCCCCACCCGUCCCCUCCCCUCGUUUCGUCCCCAGAUGUCGGCCGUGAAGCAGCGGAGCGGCCGAGGCGAUGCCCAGGACGCUGCCAGGGACUCGCAGGCCCGGCCCGGCCGCGUCAAGCGCCGCAGGACCAGGGGGGAGCGGAACCGCACCAAGUUCGGCCCAGGCCUCCCCAGCAGCACCAGGCGGCAGGGGCCGAGACCCCCCUGGGGGGGCGUCCCCCCGCUCCCCCGGCCCGCCCCCCCCCAGCACAGCCCCCUGCCGCCCCCCCGGCCCGUCAUCAUCACCCAGCAGCGCCUCAGCCGCCCCCGCGGCCUCCUGGGCCGGGGGGUGACAUCGGGGGACAUCCAGCGCCUGCUGGGGGGCGGGCAGGGGGGCGCUCCCCCCCCCGCCCGAGGGGCCGGGAGUGCCGGCAGGCAGCCCCCUCCCCGAGCUGGGGCUGGGGAGGGACGGGAGGCCGUCGACCCCCCGGCCCCAAGUCCCUCGAGGACCGGGGGGGGAGGACGGGGGCUCCUCCAGCCCCCCCAGGACGCCCCCCCGGGAGGUGCCCGGCCGCUUUGGGGCCCUGCUGCCGGCCCCCGCCGAGCUGUGGGGCCGGGCCCUGGCGGAGGAGCGGCGCCGAGCCGUGCUGGCAGCCCUGCUGGAGCGCCACCGAGCCCUGCCCGACCUCGCCGCCCUCCUGCCCCCCCGGGCCGUGGGGCUGCCCCCUCCUGUGUCACCCCCUGCCUCCCCUCCCUCGCCGGGGCUCUGCACCCCUGAAAUGGAGCCGCUUUCCCAGCCGCUGCGCCCCCCUGCACCUCUUCAGGCCGUCACUCAGGCACCAACCUCCCCUUCCAUGUUCCCUCCCCCUGAUUUCAGCCCUGAGAUAAGGAAGAGGCAGAGCUGUUUCCCCUGGAUGGUGGAGGAUGAAGACGAGGCACACUCCGAAAAACCCGCCAUGCAAUUCUGCGUCCGGACCCCCUCACCACCGCUGUUCAGGGCCCGCCACCCUGCACCUUCCCCUGCCACCUACCUACCCGCAGGGCGCUGCACUCCCGAACCUGAGCUGCUGCCCCAACCAAUGCAGAGCAGGAACCCAGCACCCCAGCACCGCUGGCGCCGUGUCUCCCCACCAGCUGUCAAUCAGACUCCAAGCCCCCCUGCUGUUCCUCUGCCCCCUGUUUUCGGUGCCAAGAGGAAGGAGAAGCAGAGCUGGCUCCCCUGGAUGUCGGAAGAUGAGGAUGACACAUACCCUGAAGACCCAGCCCCACUGUUCUGUGUCCGGACACCAUCUCCACCACUGUUUGAGGGGCUCCCCCAGCCCCACAUCCCCCUGGGGGAGCCAGGCUGCACAUGCCGGGCAACAUGGGGCCCCAGGGUAGAGGACAAAGCAGAAGGACAUGGCCAGAUCCACUGGCGGUCCCGUGUGCCACAGCAUCACCGGGUGUUAGAGCAUCCCAUGUCAGGGACACAUGCCCCACACCACCCCUGUUGGCGCCACAGGGACCGACGGACACCCCCUGCUUUGUACCGGGGCACAUGCCCCUGUGCCCCCUCCCCAUCACACCACCCCUGCAAGCACAGCCCUUGUCCCCACAGCAGGCCUCGGCAUGCCACGAGCUUCCCCACGUGCCGCUGCUCACCCCCUGAAAGCCACCGGCCACGGGGCUGGAGGGGGCUGCCGGAGCCACGGCAAAGGGGGUGGCACCUUUCCUUCUGCCCCCAUGCCACAGUUCCCCACAGUGCAGGGGAUAGGGACUCUAGCCCCAAUGUCUGGCUCUUCCCCUGCCUGUACUGA